rnacentral:lncRNA from 1 species
ACAUGGUGAAGGUCAAUCCCACAUUAGAGUCUUUGCUAUUUAUCGUUGCUUAGGCACUAAUUCAUGAAUUAUACUUUAAAUUUGGCACUUCACACCAACAUGGUUUGUGGGGAGUGAGAUUGAAACACUUGCUUUUAGUCUAAGUUUAUUUUUAAUUUUUGUUUUAAGUAAAGUCAGUUAUUAUUGUGAAUAAAGUAAUAAUUGUCUCACCCAAGGUUUUGCCUAGUAACCGGACCAGUCCUGCCUAAUCAGCAGUGAUUCUCGCGUCAAACGGUAGAGUUUUGGCAUGGGGCAUGGUGGUUAGUUGGUUUCGUAGCCUUUUCAGCUCGGGUUAAUAAGUCCUUAGGGGUGUUUUACACCUAGUGCCCUAAAGCCCUAGUGGUUUGGGAGUCAUUGACCUAAAGCUCACUACAUGGGUUGGAUCGAAAGCUUAAGUGAA